rnacentral:rRNA from 1 species
AGAGUUUGAUCCUGGCUCAGGACGAACGCUGGCGGCGUGCUUAACACAUGCAAGUCGAACGGAGGUAUUUAUUUCGGUAGAUAUCUUAGUGGCGAACGGGGGAGUAACGCGUGAGCAACCUGACCUAAAGAGGGGGAUAACAUUCGGAAACGGAUGCUAAUACCGCAUAAGACCACAUUGUCACAUGAUAUGGUCAAAGGAGCAAUCCGCUUUGGGAGGGGCUCGCGUCCCAUUAGGUAGUUGGUGAGGUAACGGCCCACCAAGCCUGCGAUGGGUAGCCGAGCUGAGAGGCUGAACGGCCACACUGGAACUGAGACACGGUCCAGACUCCUACGGGAGGCAGCAGUGGGGAAUAUUGGGCAAUGGGCGCAAGCCUGACCCAGCAACGCCGCGUGAGGGAAGAAGGUCUUCGGAUUGUAAACCUCUGUCGUCAGGGACGAAAAAAAUGACGGUACCCAAGGAGGAAGCCCCGGCUAACUACGUGCCAGCAGCCGCGGUAAUACGUAGGGGGCGAGCGUUGUCCGGAAUUACUGGGCGUAAAGGGCGUGUAGGCGGGAAUGCAAGUCAGAUGUGAAAUGCCGAGGCUUAACCUCGGAGCUGCAUCUGAAACUGUGUUUCUUGAGUGCAAGAGAGGGAAGUGGAAUUCCUAGUGUAGCGGUGAAAUGCGUAGAUAUUAGGAGGAACACCAGUGGCGAAGGCGACUUCCUGGCUUGUAACUGACACUGAGGCGCGAAAGCGUGGGGAUCAAACAGGAUUAGAUACCCUGGUAGUCCACGCCGUAAACGAUGAGUGCUAGGUGUCGGGGUAUCGACCCCCUCGGUGCCACAGCUAACGCAAUAAGCACUCCGCCUGGGGAGUACGGUCGCAAGACUGAAACUCAAAGGAAUUGACGGGGGCCCGCACAAGCGGUGGAGUAUGUGGUUUAAUUCGACGCAACGCGAAGAACCUUACCAAGGCCCCGUGACAGCCAUAGAAAUAUGGUCUUAUAGGUUUAACAUCUAUACACGGAGACAGGUGGUGCAUGGUUGUCGUCAGCUCGUGUCGUGAGAUGUUGGGUUAAGUCCCGCAACGAGCGCAACCCCUACAGCCAGUUGCCAGCACGUAAAGGUGGGAACUCUGGCAGAACUGCCGUUGACAAAACGGAGGAAGGUGGGGAUGACGUCAAAUCAUCAUGCCCCUUAUGUCUUGGGCUACACACCGUACUACAAUGGCCUGAACAGAGGGAAGCAAAACUGCGAAGUUAAGCGAAUCCCUUAAAACAGGUCCCAGUUCGGAUUGUAGGCUGCAACUCGCCUACAUGAAGUUGGAAUCGCUAGUAAUCGCAGGUCAGCAUACUGCGGUGAAUACGUUCCCGGGCCUUGUACACACCGCCCGUCA